AUAAAAUGCCGAAGGGUCGAAGCAAAGGAUUUGGGCACUAUAUGUGCAAAAAGUUUUUCCAUCCGGGGAACCCGGAAAAUUUGGAACGUGUAUUUGUGGCUCGAGAGAAGGCCAAGGCCAAGGAUAAACUUGAGAAGGAUAAAAUACAGGAAUAUGAGAGGGAACAGGAGACAUGGAAUAACAAGGCUGCAGUUACAAAUACAAGGGACCGAGACAAGCUGGCGCUUAGUUUUAUGUACGAACCCCCGGCUGGGAUGAAGAAAGAGGAUAAACCGGAUACGGAGAAGAAGGACGAAUUUAAGUUUGAUUGGCAGAGGAAUGCUCCCCGUCAGUCCUACGCUAAAGAAGAUCCAAAUAUCGUCGAUCAUCCCUUUGGUAUAAGUGUACAGUUCACCAAAUGUAUAAGAUGUCAAGUAUGGGGGCAUUCACAUACAGAGAAACACUGCCCUAAGUAUGGGAAGGCCCGGGAUGAAGAGGAACCAGCGGUUGUUAUCAACGAGAAGAAACUUAUCCAGGAAAUGAAACAAAAGGAUCGUCUUCAAUUUACAAGUUACGGAACUUGGGAUAACGGGAAGCUGGGUGGGAAACAGUAUGAUCUAGUCUACUCCUCUCCAUCUGAAGAUGAAGGCGGAGGAGAUCUCAUGUCGGGACUACUCAAGGGAAUCCGAGGAAAAGAGAAGAAAAUAAAGAUAUUGAGAUCUAAAGUGAAAAAAGAAUCUGAACGAAAUCGAAGAAAACAUCACAAAAAAUUCGCAAAAUCCGAAAAGACUUCAACACGUGAUAAAUCCACGAAACGUGACGUAUCCAGGGGAAAAGGUUCCAGACGGAAAUAUGAAAGAUCGUCUUCUCCCAAGGAGAGCAAACAAGAGACUGCCAAAAUAUCGGACAAAUCACGAUUAGCGUACCUGAAUAAAAUUGAUGAUAUUCUAUUUUCUGAUAUUGGUCCUCCCCCACCUCGUAAGGAGUCCGAACUUAAUAAAUCAGGAGAAAGCUUUCUGAGUGAAGUUGACAAGAUACUCGGGCUGACAGAUGAAUCUGAAGAAGAAGAAGAAGAGUCGGAGUCAGAAGAGGAAAAAGAAGAAGAAGAAGAAGAACAGGAAGAGGAGGCCCUUACGGAGACUGAAAUGCGUCUUUUUAAUCUGAUUAGUAUUAACAAGAUUGAUGUGAAGAAAAACUUCGAGGAUAAAUAUCCUGAUACUAAUUGUCAUUUCUGCAGAGUAGAAGAAAAUACUGAACACCUGGCUGUGUGUCCUGUGUAUGAUGAUAUUAUGAAAGGGAGAGAGUUUCAGGAUAUUAAGUCUCAGAAUUUAGCAAAGGUCAAAACUGCUUUAAAGCACAUAAGGAAAGCUCUGUUAAAACGUGCAAAGGCUCUAUCAGUUACGAGUGUAGGAUCAAUUUCUGCUGAAAACAUGGCACUGUUAGAUUUAUCUGUGAAACCAGUGUUAGAUGAACGCUGUAAACGUGCGCUAGAAAUAUUAAACUCUCAACCCUUCAACAUUGUUUAGUCACAAAAUCCUGUAUCCUGUAUAGGCACAAGUGUGAUUUAUGUUAUAGUUUCAAAGAAAAUUGGUUUCCUGAUGUCGAAAAAUACACCACUUUCCUGAUCUGCAGUUUUACCCCCUGGUAAAAUCAGAUGUUAACGGUAAAAAUCAGAUGUUAACGGUAAAAUCAGAUGUUAACGGUAAAAUCAGAUGUUAACGGUAAAAUCUCCCAAUUUUAAAGUACUCACCACUCUGUCCAUGCGCAGAUUACUCAAUAUUUCGACAAAAUGGUUUUCAUGGAGAAAGUUUUUUUA
rnacentral:misc_RNA from 1 species